UUAAUUAUCAGCCAAAGGUGGCAGACUUCGGCCUGUCAAAGUUACAGAACAGAGGAGAAAUCAACAAUUCGAGAUUGUCGAGGAUCAGAGGAACAAGAGGUUACAUGGCUCCAGAAUGGGUUUUGAACCUCCCCAUCACCUCCAAAGUAGACGUUUAUAGCUAUGGUAUUGUGGUUCUGGAGAUGGUUACCGGCCGAAGGAGUGCUUCAAUGGCCAUCCACGGUACAGAUGGCAUAGGGGAACGUCAGAGUUUGGUGGCAUGGGUGAAAGGGAAGAUGAAUGGAGCAACUGCGGUUGCUUCGUGGAUGAAAGAAAUCCUAGACCCGUCGAUGGAAGGCGAAUAUGACAUGGGUGAGAUGGAAAUUCUAGUAGCAGUGGCUUUGCAAUGUGUGGAAUUGGACAAGGAUGAAAGACCCACCAUGAGUCAGGUGGUCGAGACGCUUCUCCGCCCCGAACGUGGAAACAAUCAUCACUACUAAUAAAUUAAUGCCUCGUAUGGGGCCCAAGUGAGGUGGCUUUCUGUACCUGUUCCGCCCAUUUAUGAUAUUUGUAAAAAGACAGUAAUUUUAAGUAGAAUAAUUGAGAAGCCGAAUCUUUUGAUACAACAUACAAUAUAAUUAUAUUGAAGUAUCUUUUUAAAAGAUACAACUUGGUUAUAAAUUUUAAUGUCAAUCUUCUCGAAUGUUAAGUAAAAAAUUGUUUAAUUUUUUUAGAAAAUCUUUAAUAUUAUGUCACUAUAUUUAAAGUAUUUUUUAAGAGGUUAUCAAAAUUUGAUAUUAUUUUUUAAUUCAAAUUUAUAAUUAUAAUUUAUAAAUAGUUUUUUAAUUAUUAUAAAAUACCGGACUUCUUACUAGAUCAAUUAGAAUGGACGAUCAUCUAUUCCUCUAUAUCUCUUCAAUAUUGUUGCUAUCCUCCUCCCAACUUUAUAUAAAAUAAAAAUUUUACUAAUAAAUAUUACAUGGAAUUUUGUUCCCAAUAUCUCUCCUUCGUACUCUUAUCUUAUUAAACUCUUCUUUUACAAUAUUAAUUGAUAUAUUUUAGGUAUUUGUAUGUUAGUGAAUUAAUUUAAAUAUCGUAGGUUUUGACUUUUGGGACAACCAUUUUAGAGAGCUCAUACAUCACGCACUACCACCUCAACCUUCUUUGACAUUCAUUUAUUUAUUUUUAUUACCUUUCGAUCGGUGAUAUCAUUGCUUAGGAACAAUAAUUAUUGUGAAGGCAUUUUAUCUUUUUCGUUUACCCAAGAAUAAUCAUACUAAUAUAAACAAAUAAUUUUGAUCAUGCACAAAUAAAUAUAUUUUUAUAAAAUUUAGAUUUAAUUUUUUAGUAUAUGACAUAGAUUCUUCUUCUUCUCCUUUGCUAAAUCUCAUGUGGUUGGAUUUGGAGCAUCGACUGUACGUAUUAUUCAAUUGUGAAAGACAAAUUUCAUUGAGUUGAAAGACCAAUGGGCCAUGGACGCAAUGCUUGCUUCACUUAAUUUUUUAAAACUCGUUUUUAGUAGUACAAAUUUUUUUAUUAUAUAAAGUAUUGAUGUUAUUAUCUUUUUAUAUUAAUUUUAUUUUUCUUCCAUUUUUUAUAUUGAUUUUAUAAAAACAUAUCUUGGGAUAUUAUUUCACUAAAAACAUAUCAUAUGCAUAACCGUUUAACAUGCAAUUUUUUCAUACAUAAUCAAAGAUAGACUUUUUUUUCCUUUUACUUUUUUUCCUUCUUUUUUUUUUUUUGGUAUUUUGUCGUAAACAAACACGGUCUUAGAAUUUAAUCACAAACAAAGUAUUAUGUUACUUUUAAUCAAAUUUAAGGACUUGGCAUGCCUGUCAUGUACUUUAGACACAAAUGAAAAGUUUGAGGUCUCCUAUUGAAAAUUUAAUUCAUUCCAGUAUACCAUAUUAUUAUUAUUAUUAUUAUUUUGGUGAUCAUGGGUAUAAAUAUUACUAGGAAAAAAGGCAAAUUGACGUAAUAGAAGGCCUAACGGCUCAUGUUUUGUAUUUAUUUAAAUUAGUAUUUAUUAAUCAUUUAUUGAUGUGAUAAAAAAUUUGUAAUUCAAAAUUUGAUUUUAUCAAGUGAAGUACCCGAUAAACAGAAACGGAGGAACCUAAAGGGAGGGAAAAAAAAAAGGUGAAAUGAAGACACAUCCAAAAACCCUAAUGGCCUAUUGUCACACCCUCGAAAAUCACCUUAAAUUUUUCUUACGAGUGCGUGGUGCUAAGGACCCGUCCUUAGCCAACCUUCCCUUCCCAACGUUUAGAAGAACAGAAUAGAAUACAGAAAUCAAAGCAACAGGGACACACGAGGUUGCAGGAAAAUCCUUUCCCAACUUGUAUUAAUCACUCUUACAAGACAAAAUUGCUUCUUGAACUAGAGUACAAUGCACUUACCCAAGGCAUACAAGAAGGAAUCCUUUCCCCAACUCUCACCCUCUGUUUCAAGGCUGCAGGAGCCCUAUUUAAAUGACUCAUCUACAGUUACACAUUUGAAUUCCCUCAAUUCAAAUCUUGGAGCCAACUAGGUGGUCAUGCAACUGGCCAGAACUGCCCUCAACUGCUUGCACAACCACCCACUGUGGAUUCGGCUCCUUGCGACACGUGGCAUCGCGCAUUUCACCCGGACGGAAAUUCUCCCUUAUUCCACCCGAAUAUCUCAUAUCCGGAAUUCUGUCCGCUGACGUUCCACUCGGAUAUCUCACAUCCGGCGCCUGUCCGCCGCCGUUCCACUCGGAUAUCUUACAUCUGGCGCCUGUCCACCGUUGUUCCACCCGAAUAUCUCUCAUCCGACGCCCCAUGUCAUCGGAUAGGAGAGGAGGACGAUUCAACUUCCCCAGGUAGACAUGUCCGAAUCCUUUGGUAACGCCUAUUCGGGGUGCGCGCAUGACUUGUCCACGAUCCCCACACUUAGCUCCUGGGGUUUGAACCACAAAACCUCCAGGCUUUCCUUGCUUUCCACCUAGGCUCUCAUAGGUGCAAGACCUACCCAUGAGGCUUAUUUCUCCGGGUUUGAAUCAAGUGGAUAAGGGGUUGACACAUAUCCCCUAAAAAUUCUAGCUUUAGAAUUAUUGUCCUAGAAGAAAAAGACGAGCAAGUGUUUUCUCACAUCAUGGAGUUACUAUAUAACGUUAAAAAACUAAAGUAUUGUUUGUUUUCUUAAUUUUUUAUUUCGGUUUUUUUUAAACCUUUCAUUAACUUAUUAUUUACUUCUUAAAUUUUUUUAUUAAAUAAAAAAUUUUAAAUAUAUAAAAUUUUUAAAUAUUGAAAAUAAUUCAUUAAUUUUUCUUUACUUAUUUAAUAAAAAUAAAAUAUAAAAAAUGAACAAUUUAAUACUUAAUAUUAUUAAAUACUAUUUAAUUUUAAAUUUUAUUUAAAAUUAAGUUAAAAAGAAACACCAUUUAAAUGUCUUCAUUGUGUGUUGGACAUUAUCAACUCUACUCUUUUAUAAAAAAAUUUAUUUUAGGAAAUUUUAGUUUCCAAAUGAAGUAGGUUUAUAAACAUAUCAAUUGCCUUAAAUUUAAUUGAAAUAAAUAAACAAUAAAAAAACACUUGAAUUGAUUAAGGAACAAUUUUUUUAUGCCAAGGGAAGAUGGUGGUGAUAUAUUGAUUUGAGUAAGGAUUUCAUAAUUUCUCAAAAGAAAGAGAAAGAGGAAAAAGCAAGAUUUAUUAAAAGAUAGAUACAUUAGGAUAUCAUAUUCGAAUUUAGUAUUUUUGUUUUCUCUUCUUUAUAAAACUAAAUAAUAGAAAUCAAAUACUUUUACCAACUUCGCAUACUGCACCGUUUCGUUUUUCACUUCGUCUAAUUUUACCUUCAAUUCAUUUGUUUCCUAUUUUAUUUCUUGAAACAUGUAUUGACUAAAGCCUCUGUACCAAUGUUUCAGGACAUGGAGAGGUAGCCGUCCUCCUCCGGCCUCUCCUCCGGUCACAUAAGCUUCUCAACUAUCUGGCUCAUCGUGGGUCUUGAGUCCCUGUCUUCCUCCACACAUUCCAAGGCAACUCCAAUCAGAAUUUCCAUCCGGCGCAGGUCGCAUUCGCCUUGCAUCACAGGGUCCAGGAUGUCUUCAAUCCACGACCCCCUGGCACCAAUCCCAUUCAUUCGAUCCCUCACCCAUUUAAUCAACCCACGCUGCUCUGUCUCUCCUUGGGCAUCAGUAUCGGGGAUAGCAGUUGGGCUCUUCCCUGUCACCAUCUCCAAAACCACGAUUCCAUAGUUAUAAACGUCUACCUUGGAGGUUAUGGGAAGGUUGAAUACCCAUUCAGGAGCCAUGUAUCCUCUGGUUCCUCUGAUCCUCGAGAAACUUGAAUUGUCAAGCCCUCCUCUGUUUCGCAGUUUCGACAUCCCAAAAUCGGCCACUUUUGGCUGGUAAUUAGAGUCCAAGAGUAUGUUCUGAGGCUUGACGUCACAGUGCAGAACCCACUCCAAGCAUUCUUCGUGUAAAUAAGCUAGGCCUCUGGCCGUGCCAAGCGCUAUUUGGAACCUCUUCUCCCAAUCAAGAGUAUUGGAAGAUAGCUUUUGUGCCAAGGAUCCAUGUUCCAUGUACUCAUACACCAACAGCCGGUGCUUCCCCUCUAUGCAAUAUCCCCACGUCUCUAUUAAGUUCAUGUGAUUAAGCCUUCCAAUGGUGCUCACUUCUGCUAGAAAUUCUGCUUCUCCUUGAUUGGCUUCUUUGAGGCGCUUGAUUGCUGCCACUCGACGAUCAAGCAAUACACCUUUAUAUACCACUCCUCCACCUCCUCUUCCAAUCUCUUGGGUGAAACCUCGCGUGGCCUUCUUCAACUUUGCAUAGCUGAAUCUUUUAAACCCGUUUGCAACGAGGAUGUAGCCUUGCAUGGUCGAGACUGGAUCAUGGUGUACCCUAAAUAAGAAAAGCCAUACCAGCAAGACAAUUGCCCCCUCUAGAACUCCCAGUACGUAGGCAAACCAAAGCAAAAACUUCAAUGACCCAUUUUCAUGGCCCUUGCGAUAUGUUGUAUCUAGCUGUAUAUAACGAGUGUUGCCUGAACAAUUCAUGGUGAAUUCUUCAAGAGUGUUGGAAAUCAAGCCAGCAUCCUCUGUUUACUUCCCUAAUUAGUGUAAUGUACAGCCUUUAUUAUAAUUGAUUUAGGAGUAAUUCUAGCAAGGUAGUUUAUUCACUUUCCAUGUAAGAGUAGUUUAUUCACUUCCCAUGUAAGAGUAGUUUAUUCACUUCCCAUGUAAGAGUUUAUUCACUUUCCAUGUAAGGGAAAUUCCAUUCCGGAAUUGUCUCAUAUCUGUAGGCUAUUUAUUUAUGCUUUCAUUCAUUGUAAAGGGUGAGAUCACGGAAUGAAUUGAGGUGUUCCUCCAUAGUUUGUCUUCAAAUUCUUCAUAUUUUUCUUCAAAUUCUUCAAAGAUGAUCAUAUCUGGGAAAGAGACUAGCUUUAGGCAGUUUUAGAUACAUGGUUCCAGGAUAAUUUGGCGAACUGAAUCCAUUAAGCAAGAGGGUAUUUGGGUAACAAUCGUAAAGGUCGUCGCUAAAAUUUAGCAGGAAGGCCUUGCAUUUGCACAACUGUAAGCAUAGAUUUUCACACCUUUCGUAGGUGUAAUUGGGGUAGUGACCAUAGUCAUAGCCGUAGAGUUGAACAUGAGGGAGUGGGAAGAAGCCCACCUCAGUUUGGUUACAAGCGAUAUCAGUUUCUGGUGCACACCCAUAAGACUAGUCAGUUGAAUUUACAAUCUUGAAUCCAGGCAUGCAAGAGCAUCCUCUGCCAUAAGCAGGGGUGUAACUGCAGAGACUAUUGGGUUCGCAGAUGCCAUGAAUCUGGCAUGGUUGGGAGAUAGCCUGCCAUGAAACCGACCAGGUUCCUCUCGUUUCUUCUAGACUAUACAUUCUAAGAUUGCCAUCGAAAUCGAGGGCCAAUCUUCUCUGAGGCCCUGCACCAAAAUCCGCUGACCGAAAUUCCAAAUCAUCUGAUGCUCUAUAAUAACCCAAAGAAUCGAAUACUGCGAUUCGACUGUUGUUGUAUGUGCUCCUUCCAGCAUCCCAGGUCACCAGGCUUAGGUCUGGCCAAUAGAUGCUGGAAACCUCAGUACCAUUGAAGAGAAGGCGGAUGACGUUAUCACUGUCAAAAAAUAGCUUAUAAAAACCAGAAGAAUAGUUGCUUUGGCUUCUUGAGGAGAUAAGGCUGGUAUCUUUGGUCAGUAUCUGGUGAGGAAGAAGAGUAUCUGUGGGUGAGUCAAAGCUCUGCCAAAUCACCGUCUUCUCCCAAGCAUAUAGAACAAGAUUGCCGGUGUUAAGGAGCUGUAAUCUCGCAGAUGAGGUUGAAACUGUCACGCCCCAAGACCCACUCCAAGGGCGUGACGGUCAUUUCACACCUCAAACCCGAAGGCUUAAAGUAUAAUCUGACCCGAACAAUCAUAUUAUAACUAGAUGUUACCAAUUACCAAAUACCUGUUCAGAGUAGCAGAACAAAAUCUAAAUUCCUCAAAAUUCAAUUUCCAAAUAACUUCCAAAUAUCAAAUGAUCCAAAUGAACAUAACUAACAGUUAAACAAAAUCCAACAUAAAAUCCUAAGUCAAAUCUUAAUGAUGACCAUUCUUCAGCCUAGCCAUCACUCCUCACCCGAACUAAGAGUACCUGAAAAUUUUCAACAAUUGGGAAUGAGCUCACAGCCCAAUAAGGAAUAUUAAUGCAAUUCAUGGAUCAAAUAUUUUCAUUUCAAAUAGGAGAUAUCAAUUUUUUUUUUUCUCAUCAAAUAUCAGAGUUCCAAAAAUACCAAUAUAUUCAAAAUUCAACCAACCAAUUUCAUAUCAAAUUCAAACACUUUCACAUAAAAUUCAAUCAAAUUCAUUCAAGUUUCAUUACUCUGGUUAUCAAAUAUCAAAUGCCCAGUUAGGUGGGACUUUUCAAAUGGGUGGCUAGCCUCAAAUUGUUCCUGGUGGACGGAACCUAAACACNNNNNNNNNNNNNNNNNNNNNNNNNNNNNNNNNNNNNNNNNNNNNNNNNNNNNNNNNNNNNNNNNNNNNNNNNNNNNNNNNNNNNNNNNNNNNNNNNNNNCCGAACUAAGAGUACUGAAAAUUUUCACAAUUGGGAAUGAGCUCACAGCCCAAUAAGGAAUAUUAAUGCAAUUCAUGGAUCAAAUAUUUUCAUUUCAAAUAGGAGAUAUCAAUUUUUUUUUUUCUCAUCAAAUAUCAGAGUUCCAAAAAUACCAAUAUAUUCAAAAUUCAACCAACCAAUUUCAUAUCAAAUUCAAACACUUUCACAUAAAAUUCAAUCAAAUUCAUUCAAGUUUCAUUACUCUGGUUAUCAAAUAUCAAAUGCCCAGUUAGGUGGGACUUUUCAAAUGGGUGGCUAGCCUCAAAUUGUUCCUGGUGGACGGAACCAAACACUACUAGUACUAGUAACCUCUAACCAAACCCCUAGAGGCUGGGGUCCAAAUCAAUUACAUUCCCACCAUGAAAUGUAAAGGUCAACUAUUAUAUCCCGUUGAUAGGGCCGAAUAGUCAAUUAUUAUAUCCCGUUGACAAGGGUCAAAUAAACCAGAGUGAUGUUUUUGUUCAAGUUUUCAAAUUUACACAACAUAAUAUCUCCAUAUUUUGUGUCAUAAAUAAAACAAAAUAUUCCAACAUAACAUUUAGUGCAAAACAAUUUGAUCCAUGCAUGGUAACAAAAUAUCAUUUUCUUUUCCACAAUUCAAAAUAACAUAUAAGAUAAUUUAAUUUUAUAAAUAUUACAUUAACUUCCCUUACCUCAAAAGAAGUCCUUGAAAGCUUGGGAGAAGAAUAAUUCUGAAAAAAAAAAUAUAAUCUACUCUUCACCUAAUAUAACAUAAAAGAAACAAUUAUUACUAUUUAUUUAUAAUUUAACUAAUCUAUUCCUUAUUAAAAAAAAAUUAAAAAAUUCCCAAUUGGUUUUUAAUAUACCAUUACUAAUUUAAUUAAAUAAUACCUUUAUUUGGCUAUAAAAUUCUAUAUUUAUAUAUUUAUAUAUGGCUAAUUUUCUUUUUCUUUUUUUACCAAAAAUACCAUUUUUAUUUUUUUUUUAUUUAAAAAUUUAAAACUAAUUUUUUUUUUUUAAUUACCCAAUUCCAACCCAUCCACCUUGGGGUACACCAAACCAAAAAGCAAGUUUUUAUUUUUAUUUUUUAUUUUUUUUUCAUUCCCAACCAGGAUCCAUUAAUAUAUAUAUAUAUAUAUAUAUAUAAAAGGGGCUUCCUGGCACACGCACCUUUUUUUUUUUUUUUUAAUAAAAUUAACCCUAACCUAAAAUCAAAACCUUCCAAGAAAUUUUUUUUUUUUUCUAAUAAAACUUAAGAUCUCCCAAAUUCCAAUACUAAAAUCAAAAUAUUAAAUUUUCACUAUUUGAUAUUAAAACGAAUUAAAAAAAUAAUCUAACCCUAAUCUAGAUUUGGGGUUUUCCAAAAAAAUAUAUCUAAUGUGUUUGAAAUUAAUCAAUGAAUCUAAAAUAUUAAACUAGGGGUUAGAAUCUUACCUAUAGAGAUCUGUUCUUCAACCCUGAAAUCUGACUCCAAUCUUACGUUCUCUGGAAUUCUACGAACAGGAAAUCUAUUCAGAAAAAAAGGGAAAAAAAUAAAAUUUCUAAUUUAUACCUAGGGUAUUUAUUCGUAAAAUUACACUUUUACCCUUCUUCCACUUUAUUAAAUUAAUUAAUUAAUUAAUUUAAUUAUUAAUAACAAUUUCCUAAAUUACCCUUAAAAGAAAAUGCUUGGGCAUUACAUCCUCCCCUCCUUAACAAAAGUUUAGUCCUCUAAACUUGACAUACCUGAGUCUUGAAAUAAUUGAGGAUGUUUUUCUCUCAUCUCUUCUUCUAACUCCCAAGUGGCCUCUCGGAUACUAUGAUUGCUCCACUGGACCUUUACCAACUUGACAACAGCAUGUCGUAGUACCUUAUCCAUCAUAUCCACAAUUUGAACGGGUACCUCUUCAUAGGUCAAGUCCUCAAAAUUUUGAAUAGGCUCCAACUCCACAACAUGAGAAGGAUCAUAAAUAUACUUCCUUAGAGUCGAAACAUGAAACACAUUAUGAACCUUAGACAAGCUUGGGGGCAAGACUACUUUAUAUGCCAAAGUGCCUACUCUUUCUAAUAUUUCAAACGGACCCACAAAACGAGGACUAAGUUUUCCUUUUCUCCCAAAUCUCAUCACAUACUUCAUAGGUGAAACUUUCAAGAACACAUGAUCACCCACCUCAAACUCCAAAUCUCGCCUACGAUGAUCAGCAUAACUCUUAUGUCUACUUUGAGCUGCUUUUAAUAUUUCUUUAAUCAAAGCAACCUUUUCAACAGUCAACUGCACAAGUUCAGGCCCCAAAAGUUUCCUUUCUCCAACAUCAUUCCAAUAGAUAGGAGAUCGACAUUUCCUACCAUACAAUGCCUCAAAAGGUGUCAUCCCAAUGCUAGCUUGAAAACUAUUGUUAUAGGCAAACUCUACUAAAGGUAAAUGAUCAUCCCAAUUACCUUGCAGGUCCAAAAUACAAGCUCUCAACAAGUCUUCCAAAACCUUAAUUACCCUUUCUGAUUGGCCAUCAGUUUGAGGAUGGAAAGCAGUACUAAAACUCAACUUAGUGCCCAAAGUUUUUUGUAGACUAUGCCAGAAUCUAGAAGUGAAACGAGGAUCUCUAUCAGACACUAUAGAAACUGGUACUCCAUGCAUUCUCACAAUCUCCUUCACAUAAAGAGAAGCUAAACGAUCUAAAGAAAAGUUCACUUUCAUAGGUAAAAAGUGAGCAGACUUUGUCAACCGAUCAACAAUCACCCAAAUAGCAUUAUUACCCCCUAAGGUUCUUGGCAAUCCUAUCACAAAAUCCAUGGUAAUAUGCUCCCACUUCCACUCAGGAAUAGCAAGUGGCUGCAAAGACCCUGCUGGUCGUUGAUGUUCAGCCUUCACCUGUUGACACACUAAAUACUGAGCCACAAAUUGUGCAAUAUCACGCUUCAUACCUGACCACCAAUAGUUUUGCCUCAAAUCCUUGUACAUCUUUGUCCCUCCUGGGUGGAUUGCAAACUUGGAACAAUGAGCUUCCUCUAAAAGCUCCCUCUUUAAGUCUUCAUCAUUUGGGACACAAAGUCUAGUCCCAAAUCUCAAGAUCUCAUCAUCUGACAAAACAAAAUCAGGCUUACUGUCCCUCUUAACUUCCUCCAUAACUUGCACUAAUUGGGAAUCAUUCUUUUGUAGGGUCUUAAUUCUCCCAACUAAGUCUGGUUGUACUCUGAAAUUUGCUACAAGUGCUCCUAAGCCCAUAACUCGAAAGUGGACUUGUAAACUCCUCAACUCUUCAAGUAACUGCCUUUGACAACCUCUAAUAGCUGCUAGAGAACCAACUGACUUCCUACUCAAGGCAUCAGCUACAACAUUCGCCUUCCCAGGAUGAUACUGAAUAAUACAAUCAUAGUCCUUAAGUAGUUCUAUCCAUCUUCUCUGUCUUAUGUUCAACUCCUUUUGGGAAAAUAGAUACUUCAAACUCUUAUGAUCUGUGAAUAUCUCACAAGUUUCACCAAAAAGAAAAUGUCUCCAAAUCUUAAGUGCAAAAACCACAGCAGCUAACUCCAAAUCAUGAGUAGGGUAAUUCCUUUCAUAAGGCUUCAACUGUCUAGAAGCAUAAGCUACAACUCUCCCAUGUUGCAUAAGAACACAACCUAAACCCUGAUGAGAAGCAUUACUAUACACCACAAAUCCUCCUGAACCUGAAGGGAUAGUCAAAAUAGGAGCUGACACUAAUCUAUUCUUCAACUCUUGGAAGCUACAUUCACAAUCAUCAGACCACUCAAACUUAACUCCCUUCUGUGUCAACUUAGUUAAAGGUAGGGCAAUCUUAGAGAACCCUUCUAUAAACCGCCUAUAGUAACCAGCAAGUCCCAAGAAACUUCGAAUCUCAGUCACAGUACUAGGUCUUCUCCAAUUAGCUACAGCAUCUACCUUGCCAGGGUCAACUGAGAUGCCAUCAUUGCUUACCACAUGCCCAAGGAAAGAAAUUCAGUCUAACCAAAACUCACACUUCUUCAGUUUAGCAUACAACUGCUUAUCUCUGAGGAUAUGUAAUACAAUACUCAAAUGGCCCUCAUGCUCCUCUCUACUUCUUGAGUAUACCAAGAUGUCAUCUAUAAAAACCACCACAAAUUGAUCUAAAUAGGGUUUGAAUACCCUAUUCAUCAAGUCCAUAAAAGCAGCAGGUGCAUUAGUCAAACCAAAAGGCAUAACAAGAAACUCAUAGUGCCCAUACCUAGUUCGAAAAGCAGUCUUGGGUACAUCUUCCCCUCUAACCCUCAACUGGUGAUAACCCGAUCAAAGAUCUAUCUUAGAGAACACACAAGCACCUUGUAACUGAUCAAACAAAUCAUCAAUCCGAGGAAGGGGAUACUUGUUCCUCACUAUCACCUUAUUCAACUCCCUAUAGUCAAUGCAAAGUCUCAUUGAGCCAUCCUUCUUUUUCACAAAUAGAACAGGAGCUCCCCAAGGUGAAACACUAGGCCUGAUAAAACCCUUGUCUAAUAACUCUUGAAGCUGAACUUUCAACUCCUUAAGCUCCACAGGUGCCAUCCUGUAUGGGGCCUUAGACAUAGGACCUAUUCCUAGUACUAGAUCAAUGGUGAACUCCACCUCUCUCUCUGGUGGCAAGCCAGACAAAUCCUCUGGAAAGACAUCAGGAUACUCUCUUACUAUAGGUAUGUCUUCCAACUUCAAAUCACUUUCAUUACUCACCAUACUAGCCAAAAAUCCUUGGCAACCCUUCUUAAGCAAGCUACUAGCACGCAAGGCUGAGAUCAUACGCAGUGGUCUGUCCACAUGCUUCCCUUCAAAGCUAAACUUAGGCUGACCAGGAAUACUAAAUGUCACUCUUUUCUCAAAACAGUCAACAGAGGCAUGGUAGGAAGCUAACCAAUCCAUACCCAAAAUCACAUCAAAAUCCUGAAGGUCAAGGAGUACUAAAUCAACUGGCAUUUCCCUAUAACCAAUCAUCACAAUACAAUUUCUAAGCAUUCUACUGGCCACAACAGAAUCUCCCACAGGAGUAGCAACAAUCAAAUCAAAGUCCAUGCUAACAACAGGCAAACCCAACAAACCAGCAAAAGAUACUGAAACAAAAGAGUGUGUUGAUCCAGGAUCAAUCAGACUCUAGCAAAUAAGGUGUGGAUUCGGAGAGUACCUGUCACCACAUCAGAAGUGGCCUGAGCAUCUCGAUGAGUCAUAGCAAACACCCGUCCUUGGGCUUUGGGUUUCUGUUUUAUCUCCUUAUUUUCCUCUUUAAGCUUCCCAGUGAUGAACUUACCUAUUCCUCUGAUCAAAUGUCCUUGCNNNNNNNNNNNNNNNNNNNNNNNNNNNNNNNNNNNNNNNNNNNNNNNNNNNNNNNNNNNNNNNNNNNNNNNNNNNNNNNNNNNNNNNNNNNNNNNNNNNNGUGAUAACCCGAUCGAAGAUCUAUCUUAGAGAACACACAAGCACCUUGUAGCUAAUCAAACAAAUCAUCAAUCCGAGGAAGGGGAUACUUAUUCCUCACUGUCACCUUAUUCAACUCCCUAUAGUCAAUGCAAAGUCUCAUUGAGCCAUCCUUCUUUUUUACAAAUAGAACAGGAGCUCCCCAAGGUGAAACACUAGGCCUGAUAAAACCCUUGUCUAAUAACUCCUGAAGCUGAACUUUUAACUCCUUAAGCUCCAUAGGUGCCAUCCUGUAUGGGGCCUUAGACAUAGGACCUGUUCCUGGUACCAGAUCAAUGGUGAACUCCACCUCUCUCUCUGGUGGCAAGCCAGGCAAAUCCUCUGGAAAGACAUCAGGAUACUCCCUUACUAUGGGUAUGUCUUCCAACUUCAAAUCACUUCCAUUACUCACCACACUAGCCAAAAAUCCUUGGCAACCCUUCUUAAGCAAGCUACUAGCUCGCAAGGCUGAGAUCAUACGCAGUGGUCUGUCCACAUGCUUCCCUUCAAAGCUAUACUUAGGCUGACCAGGAAUACUAAACGUCACCCUUUUCUCAAAACAGUCAACAGAGGCAUGGUAGGAAGCUAACCAAUCCAUCCCCAAAAUCACAUCAAAAUCCUGAAGGUCAAGGAGUACUAAAUCAACUGGCAUUUCCCUAUAACCAAUCAUCACAAUACAAUUUCUAAGCAUUCUACUGGCCACAACAGAAUCUCCCACAGGAGUAGCAACAAUCAAAUCAAAGUCCAUGCUAACAACAGGCAAACCCAACAAACCAGCAAAAGAUACUGAAACAAAAGAGUGUGUUGAUCCAGGAUCAAUCAAGACUCUAGCAAAUAAGGUGUGGAUUCGGAGAGUACCUGUCACCACAUCAGAAGUGGCCUGAGCAUCUCGAUGAGUCAUAGCAAACACCCGUCCUUGGGCUUUGGGUUUCUGUUUAUCCUCCUUAUUUUCCUCUUUAAGCUUCCCAGUGAUGAACUUCCUAUUCUCUGAUCAAAUGUCCUUGCUUCCCACAACCAAAGCAAGCUCCAGUCUCUCUAUAGCAUGGCCUACCCCCAUGCUUCUUACCACAAGUAGGACAAGCCCCAUCUAAAUUCUGCGCUGCCUUCCCUUUAUUCUGAUUUCUUCCUGAUGUAGACCUUCGCUGUGCUUGAUUACCAUGAGCACCAUCACUCCUAUUUCGCUUCCUUUGCUGUUCCCUAUACUGAUGAAGCUCUUCAUUAUCUUUCUCUGUUAUAAGGGCUCUGUCAACAACCUCUGAAUAGACACCAAGCUUCAGAAUAGAUAUCUUGUUCUUCAAAUAAGGCUUCAAUCCAUCCUGAAACUUUAAUGCCUUUUCCUCCUCUAUAGCAAUCAACUGUGGGGAAAAACGUGAUAACUUUGUAAAUUUGGCCUCAUACUGAGCCACAGUCAUAUCCCUCUGUUCCAAACGAAUAAACUCUCCCACCUUCUGCCACCUAACACUGUCAGGGAAAUACUUCUUGUAGAAAGCCUCCCUAAAUUGUCUCCAUGUUAUGGGUCCCUGAUCCUCCAAAAGUCUCUUAGUCAUACGCCACCAAUGAUCUGUCUCUUUAUCUAACAUAAAAGCUGCAUAAGAGGCUUUUUGCUCCUCAGAGCAAUCUAUGACACCAAAGAAUUUCUCCAUCUUAAGGAUCCAAGCCUCUGCCUCUGUGGGAUCUGUAGCACCAGAAAAGUAAGGAGGACCCAAUUUCUUGAAGUCAUCAAAAGAGCUACCCCUAGAAGAUGAAGACUGUCCCUGAACAUUAGUCCCAACAGCUCGAGCUUGGCGUUCAACUAAACCAACUAGUGUCCCAAGAUACCUAUAGAUCCCUUCUGCACUCACGGGAGGCAAACCCUCAAUUGGAGGUACAUCGUCAUUAGCCUGACUGUUUUGUGAAGAAGUUGUUCUUCUUGGUGGCAUGAUGUCCUAAAAUAAUAAGGCAUAACUAAAUUAGUCACUAAAGAACCAAUUAGAAAAUUUUCCAAUUAAAGAAAGAAUUGGAAUUUAUACUAAAUGAAACUAAAACUUAAACAAAUGCGUUACUCAUCUAUCCCUAAUCUAAACCAAUUCAAAUUCCCAUCAAGAUCAAAACCUAGUGCUCUGAUACCACUCUGUCACGCCCCAAGACCCACUCCAAGGGCGUGACGGUCAUUUCACACCUCAAACCCGAAGGCUUAAAGUAUAAUCUGACCCGAACAAUCAUAUUGUAACUAGAUGUUACCAAUUACCAAAUACCUGUUCAGAGUAGCGGAACAAAAUCUAAAUUCCUCAAAAUUCAAUUUCCAAAUAACUUCCAAAUAUCAAAGAUCCAAAUGAACAUAACUAACAGUUAAACAAAAUCCAACAUAAAAUCCUAAGUCAAAUCCUAAUGAUGACCAUUCUUCAGCCUAGCCAUCACUCCUCACCCGAACUAAGAGUACCUGAAAAUUUUCAACAAUUGGGAAUGAGUUCACAGCCCAAUAAGGAAUAUUAAUGCAAUUCAUGGAUCAAAUAUUUUCAUUUCAAAUAGGAGAUAUCAAUUUUUUUUUUUCUCAUCAAAUAUCAGAGUUCCAAAAAUACCAAUAUAUUCAAAAUUCAACCAACCAAUUUCAUAUCAAAUUCAAACACUUUCACAUAAGAUUCAAUCAAAUUCAUUCAAGUUUCAUUACUCUGGUUAUCAAAUAUCAAAUGCCCAGUUAGGUGAGACUUUUCAAAUGGGUGGCUAGCUUCAAAUUGUUCCUGGUGGACGAAACCAAACACUACUAGUACUAGUAACCUCUAACCAAACCCCUAGAGGCUGGGGUCCAAAUCAAUUACAUUCCCACCAUGAAAUGUAAAGGUCAACUAUUAUAUCUCGUUGACAGGGCCGAAUAGUCAACUAUUAUAUCCCGUUGACAAGGGUCAAAUAAACCAGAGUGAUGUUUUUGUUCAAGUAUUCAAAUGUACACAACAUAAUAUCUCCAUAUUUUGUGUCAUAAAUAAAACAAAAUAUUCCAACAUAACAUUUAGUGCAAAACAAUUUGAUCCAUGCAUGGUAACAAAAUAUCAUUUUCUUUUCCACAAUUCAAAAUAACAUAUAAGAUAAUUUAAUUUUAUAAAUAUUACAUUAACUUCCCUUACCUCAAAAGAAGUCCUUGAAAGCUUGGGAGAAGAAUAAUUCUGAAAAAAAAAUAUAAUCUACUCUUCACCUAAUAUAACAUAAAAGAAACAAUUAUUACUAUUUAUUUAUAAUUUAACUAAUCUAUUCCUUAUUUAAAAAAAAACUAAUAAAUUCCCAAUUUGUUUCUAAUAACACAUUACUAAUUUAAUUAAAUUAUAACUUUAUUUCGCUAUAAAAUUAUAUAUAUAUAUAUAUAUAUAUAUUGCUAAAUCUCUUAUUCUAUUUAUUACAAAAAUACCAUUAUUACUAUUAUCUUAUUUAUAAAUCUAAAACUAAUUAUUAUUAUUUAAUUAACCAAUUCCAAACCACUCAACCUCGGGUACACCAAACCAAAAAGCAAGUUUUUAUUUUUAUUUUUUAUUUUUUUUCAUUGCCAAUCAUGAUCCAUUAAUAUAUAUAUAUAUAUAUAAAAGGGGCUUCCUGGUACACGCACCUUUUUUUUUUAAUAAAAUUAACCCUAACCUAAAAUCAAAACCUUCCAAGAAAUUUUUUUUUUUUUCUAAUAAAACUUAAGAUCUCCCAAAUUCCAAUACUAAAAUCAAAAUAUUAAAUUUUCACUAUUUGAUAUUAAAACGAAUUAAAAAAAUAAUCUAACCCUAAUCUAGAUUUUGGGUUUUCCAAAAAAAUAUAUCUAAUGUGUUUGAAAUUAAUCAAUGAAUCUAAAAUAUUAAACUAGGGGUUAGAAUUUUACCUAUAGAGAUCUGUUCUUCAACCCUGAAAUCUGACUCCAAUCUUACGUUCUCUGGAAUUCUACGAACAAGAACUAUAUUCAGAAAAGAAGGGAAAAAAAUAAAAUUUCUAAUUUAUACCUAGGGUAUUUAUUCGUAAAAUUACACUUUUACCCUUCUUCCACUUUAUUAAAUUAAUUAAUUAAUUAAUUUAAUUAUUAAUAACAAUUUCCUAAAUUACCCUUAAAAGAAAAUGCUUGGGCGUUACAGAAACGGUGUUGAUCAUCCAAACCAUGAUUUUACCAGCAUCAGUUAAGAUGAGAUUGCCAUUCCUCAACAAAGAAAGCUUGGAGCCUCUACCGUUGACCGGUUGGUCAUGGUUCGCCAUCCAAACUGUGGUUGCACCCCAUGAUUUUGUGAACCAUAUGGCGAAGCAGAAAGUGUUGUUGCCGACCUGAUAAAACCCAGCAGAGAAUAUACCAUUUGCUGAAAUGAGAACAUCAUUUGAUUUCUCCACGGAAAGAGACGAGCCUUCGCUCAGAGUAUCAUACGUUUCAGAUGAAGAUGGAUAGCAAGUUAACAGCAAAACCAAAACAAAGAAACCAACUGUCCUAUCCAUGAGUUUUGGGAUAUGGUUCAUGUGCUCUGUUUCCUGAUCAGAUAUUUGCAAUGGAGAAUGCAAGUGUAUGGUGCUACCAGAGUUUAGAAAAUCAAUUGACUCCUUGACUGGGGUGAAGGGGGAAAAUUCACAUUGCCCCUCGGGCCAAGUUUUGCUUGUGCCAUCGUGUUGGGUUUCUAAAAGCAUUUCAUGUCAACGUCAAAAUAUGGGAUGAAGACCCGCUAUUUUUAAUGGGAUCUAUUUUGAUUGGAUGACUUGGGCCAUUCAAAUUUUGUAGUUUCCACUUGGAACAACAAAAUUAUUAUGAGAUACGUCAUUUUGAAGAAAGAUUCUAGAAAUAAGAUGUUAAAUUGAUCUCUUUUCCAUGUAGCUGAACUCGUCAACUGUGAGUCUGAGCCAUAUGAUUUCUGUGCCAUACAGAAGCUUAUUGUUCCAAGUUGCCUGCUCAAAGGUUAACCUGUGAACAGUUUGGAUCUAAAUACAAUGAAUGUGAUGAAAUUUACUGAAACCGGGACUCUCUGACUGGCCUGUGGCCUUUAUGAGUUUUAUUUUAGAGGUGACGUCUGAUGUUGAUUGGCCCAAGCAGGGAAAGAUCAAAUGGGAAACGACGGUCACAACUUGUGGGGUGACUUUCCACUCACCAGGGAACACUUCAAAGAAAUUAUCCCUAAUUUUUAAACGCUUAAUUAUUGCGAUUCGAGGGGUAAAACAUUUUCUUUUAUUGAAUCAAGAUUGAAUUUAAAAUAAUAGUGUUGGUAUUACUCCCUCUCUUUUAUCCUUUUCUUAUUCUAUCUAAUAGUGGUUUUCUCGCCGCCUUUGUGGGCCAAGAUGAACUAAUGCUAAGAAUUUUAUUCAUCUGCUUUCUUUCAAGACUCACUUAUUGAAUAUAAUAUCUCAAUAAAUAUAGAACCAUAUUUUGAUUAUAUUGGUACAAUUAUUGAUACAACUGUUGGCUCCGCUCAAGUCAUUUUGGCGUGGACUUUUAGGGUAUGGUAGAGUGGAGCUUGUAUCACUACUAAUUAUUAAAAUGGUUAAAGGAUGUCUUUGUCAUUUUAGUGCACAUAUAAUUAUUAUUACAAUUGAGGGUCCUCCAAUAUCCCAUUUUUCCAAUUUUGACUUUUGAUCGGAAAAAAUUUAGUAUACAAGGAUAGGAAAAUAUGCUAAAUAAAAUAAUUUUCUCAUAUUUAGGUUUAUUAAAAAUUAUAAAAAAUAAUAUAAUAUAAUAUAAUUAAAAAGUUAUGUAUUUUUAAAUUAGAUAAUUUUUUUAUAAAACAAUUAAAAUAAGUUAAAUGAGUUUGAAAUUCCAUAUAAAAAUAAUUUAUUGAUUUAAAAUCUAUUUUUAUUUCCUUUAACUUUUUUUCAUAUAUUUUUUUUUUGAAUUUUUCAAAUACUUCAAACAGCUAUUUUUAAGUUUGUAUCUUUGUGAAACUCGUGUAAUCGUGACCCAUGAGAACCUUCAAGUCAUUUUGAUUAUAUUGGUACAAUUAUUGGUACAACUGUUGGCUCCGCUCAAGUCAUUUUGGCGUGGACUUUUAGGUUAUGGUUGAGUGGAGCUUGUAUCACUACUAAUUAUUAAUAUGGUUAAAGGAUGUCUUUGUCAUUUUAGUGCACAUAUAAUUAUUAUUACAAUUGAGGGUCCUCCAAUAUCCCAUAUUUCCAAUUUUGAUUUUUCAAGGUAUGAUCGGAAAAAAUUUAGUAUACAAGGAUAGGAAAAUAUGUUAAAUAAAAUAAUUUUCUUAUAUUUAGUUUUAUUAAAAAUUGUAAAAAAUAAUAUAAUAUAAUAUAAUUAAAAAGUUAUGUAUUUUUAAAUUAGGUAAUUUUUUUAUAAAACAAUUAAAAUAAGUUAAAUGAGUUUGAAAUUUUAUAGAAAAUUAAUUUAUUGAUUUAAAAUCUAUUUUUAUUUUCUUUAACUUUUUUUCAUAUAUAUUUUUUUUUUUGUAUUUUUCAAAUACUUCAAGUAGCACCCCAUUUCCUAUUUUCAAGUUUGUAUCUUCGUGAAACUCAUGUAAUCGUGACCCAUGAGAACCUUCAAGUCAUUUUGAUUAUAUUGGUACAAUUAUUGGUACAACUGUUGGCCCCGCUCAAGUCAUUUUGGCGCGGACUUUUAGGGUAUGGUUGAGUGGAGCUUGUAUAACUACUAAUUAUUAAUAUGGUUAAAGGGUGUCUUUGUCAUUUUAGUGCACAUAUAAUUAUUAUUACAAUUGAGGGUCCUCCAAUAUCCCAUUUUUCCAAUUUUGACUUUUCAAGGUCUGAUCGGAAAAAAUUUAGUAUACAGAGAAAAUAUGAUAAAUAAAAUAAUUUUUUCAUAUUUAGUUUUAUUAAAAAUUGUAAAAAAAUAUAUAUAUAAUUAAAAAGUUAUGUAUUUUUAAAUUAGGUAAUUUUUUUUUAUAAAACAAUUAAAAUAAGUUAUAUGAGUUUGAAACUCCAUAUAAAAAUAAUUUAUUAAUUUAAAAUUUAUUUUUAUUUCCUUUAACUUUUUUUCUUAUAUUUUCUUUCGUAUUUUCCAAAUAUUUCAAAUAGCACUCUAUUCCCAUUUUCAAGUUUGUAUCUUUGUGAAACUCAUUUAAUCGUGACCCAUGAGAACCUUCCCAUAACUACAAAGGAAGGUGGCAACAUAUCAUUGGGAGAGUGUCUUAAGAGCCAAAAUUUGACUAGCGGUUGAAAGGAAAAUGCACAAUUAUUGUAGUGGACAAAUACUUUUAACCUCAUUUGUGGAAGCUAGGUUGUUUUUACAAGGGAAACUUGUGUUCCAAGUUAGAUAUUUGAAAGUAAUAUUAUAUUCAAACCCCAAUUAGCUGGAAUAUGAGAUUUGACUAUUAAAAGAGAAAAUAUUAUUGUGUUUGUGCAUUCUAAGUUGGCUCUAUCUUCUAUGCCCAAAUUGCCCUUUUGUUUCUCUAGCUCAACAUCAUCCUAACCUCUUUGUCAACAGGACCACUAAAAUUAAGAAAAAACACUAAAUUUUGAAUUUUUAACUUCUAAAAAAAAAAACACCCGACCCGACCACUUAAUUUGAAUGUUUUCCUUUCUCAUUUGGAAGCUUUCUCUCAUCUUUCUUCAUUCAUGACAACCCAAAAUUUCUCCUAUUUCAAUUUAGAAACCCAAAUCUGAAACUCUAAAACGGUGUCAAAAUGCGUCUUUUGACGUGCCUCUGGCUCAGAUGCCUCAGCUAGGCGUUUGCCUUGAGCCCUAACCGUAGUUAACUCUCGUCUAGGAGCCACGAGAGUGCAAGAGAAUCCAAUAAAAAUGAAAUGGAGCUCGGGUGGAGAGUAGAUGCCCAAAAACUGAAACCUUAACCUCCAAAUGCGUCUUAGACUCGCAAAUUCAUAUCCAAGAUAGUUCUAUAAGACAGAAAUAGCACCAAACAUCUCUUUUAGACCACCGAAUCGACGAAGCCCUUGAAGAACCAAAGGAAACGGUGCAAAAAAUGAAGCGCGGGAAACUCUUAAAGUAUUGGGUCUUGACAAAAAGAAUAUUAAGAAAAAUAGGUUUUUAAUAUCUUAUUUUAGUAUAAAAAUAAAAAAAUAAGAUAUAAUUAAAAACUUGUAUAUUUUUAAAUUAUUUGAUAUUUAUAUAAAAAAUAAUAUAUUAACUUAAAUAAGUUUAAGAUAGCAUAUAAAAUAAUUUAUCAGCUUUAAAUUUUUUUUUUACUUUUACAUGAUACUUAAAAAGGAAUAUAAAUAGAGAAACAAUAUACUAAAUAAAAUAAUUUUAUCUAUAUAUAAAAAUAAUUUAUUAAUUUAAAAUCUAUUUUUAUUUCCUUUUAACCUUUCUUUCCUUUUUUUUUUUUUUUUUCCAUAUUUUCCAAAUACUUCACAUAGCACUCCACUCCCUAUUUUUUUUUUCUCUCUAAAUUUCAGAAACCAAACAUAAAAUACAAACACUGGUGUAAAGUUUGUAUCUUUGUGAAACUCAUGUAAUCUUGACCCAUAGGAACCUUCCCAUAUAAUUAAAGGAGAAUUACCCAAUAGGGUGGGCUUGGUAAAACAAUUACUAGAAAUGGUAGUCUCUUCUAAUAAUUCUUGGGGAGGAUUUUAAUAGGUUUAAUAUACCAAAACUGUCAUUUAACUAAAAUUUUUAAAAUUCAAAGUAUUUAAAGCACUUCACUUGAUUUGUCGAUACAAUUAUAGUACAUGAGUCUCAUAUUUAUUGUAAUUAUUAAUAUUCAAAUUUUAAAUCAAAAUUUUGGGUUUAACCUUUACAAUUAUAUAUAAUUUGUUAUUUAAAUUUACUAUUUAAAACAAAAAUACUUUUAAAAAGUAUUUUCAAAAUAUCAUUUAUUGUUUUUUUUACAUUUUUUAUUUUUAUUCUAAUUUUUAAUUUUAUUAAGAAAAAAAUAAGUUUUAUAAUUAUAUAAUAAAAAUGAUGAUUUUUUCAUAUAUAUAUAUGUAUAUAUUAUAAUUUUAAAUUGAUAAAUUAUGUUUUUGUUUUAAAUUCAAGGAAGAUAAAAUGUUUAAUUUUUCAUUCAGAUUCUUUAAAAAGAAUAAGAAAAUGAUAGAGAAUGUUUAAUAAUUUUUUAUUUUUAUAAUAAAAUAAUUUUAAAAAAUUUAUAUGAUUUUUUUUCCUUUGCAUAGUGUUUUUUUUUUUUUCAUAUAAAAUUUUUUUUCUCAGUACAUCGACUGGAUGAUGUUAAUAUAUUUGAUAUGUUGAAUAUUAAUAAGGUAUAAAAGGUGAUCAUCGAGAUUAUUACUUUUAUUAUAAAAUAUAGGUACAACAAAAAUAUGUUAUAAUUACCAUAUAAAUACACUUACAUUACAAUAAAACCUAAUUAGGAAAUUUUUGAAUUUUUUUAUAAAAAUGAUAAUUUGGUAAGAUCAUACCAUAUUUUAUAACAUACCUAUAUCAUAAAUAAUUUCUGAAACCAAAUGAAAUACUAAUUUGAAUUCACGAGACUUGUAGUUUAUAUAUAUAAAUGAUUAAAUAAUUUCAAAACACUAAAUAAAUGUUGUUAAUAUAUUGAUACGAUGCGUUAAUACCAACGGGGUAUGAAUAAACAUUUUUAAAAUUAUUCCUUUUGUAAUUAAAUAUAGAUAUGACAUAAAUACAUUAUACUUACAAUAUAAAUACGUGUUAUCAUUACAAUAUAUUACAAUAUAAUUUAAUUUAUUUUUAUUUAAUUUUUUCAAGUGUUAUAUUAUCCAAUGAAUAAUUGUGAGUUAUUCUAUUUAAUAGGUGUGUGUUAAUCAAUUGAAUAUUUACAUAUUAUUCAAUUGAUGAGUGCUCGUAAAAAAUAAUUAUUCAUUAUAUUAUGAUAACAAAGUUUUUAAUUAUAUGUUUUAUAUAUAAAACAAUAUAAUAAUUUUAGGAUAUGGUUUUUAUUUAUGAGAUAAUGAAAAUUAUAUUUUUUUAUAAGGUUCUUUAUAAAAUAUAGCAAAUUUUUAAAUAAUCAUUUGAUUGUUCAAAAGUUAAUAAUAAUUUUUUUAAGCUGAGAAAUAUAUUAUUGAUUACUUAUCAUCAUGCAUGAAUUCCACAACAAUCUCAAUUUAUUUAUAAAUAAUAUAAAAACAUAUUAUAGGUAAAAUUAUCUAUAACCGAGAGAGCCUUCAUAAUAAUUAGUUUUUUGGGCUACCCUGUUCGGUAAUUCUCCGUACAAUUAAUUUCCAGCAAAGGCAGGUGAGUGUUGAGGAGACAAAAUCUGACCCGCUGUUGAAGGGAAAAUGCACAAUUAUUGAAGUGGACGGAAACUUUUAACCUUAUCUGUGGAAGCUGGGUCGUUUUUCAAAACACGAGGCUGCAGCUUGGAACCUGGGGCAUUCUAGCUUUCAUCUUCCCAUGGGAAUUUCUACCCUCCGCACAAGUCAAGAGCAACUUUGUCUUUUCCAUAAAUAUUAGUAUUAUUUGUGUGUUCCUUACCUGAAUUUGAUUCAAGCUUAGCCCUACGGCCUUUUCAACUGAUCCAAUUUCAUAGAUCACAUGGAUGCGCCAGUUCUUUUGCUUCUUCUCACUCUGCUUCUAUCUUCUCCACUUCCAUCGUCCACCCUCGACAGUUUGAGUCAAGGCUCAUCCCUCUCAGUUGGGAAGCCUGAACAAGUUUUGAUUUCACAAAGUGGAAUCUUCUCAGCUGGCUUCUACCCCGUCGGUGAUAAUGCUUGUUGUCUUGCCAUAUGGUUCACCAAACCAUCCUACGACGGCAAACAUACCGCUGUUUGGAUGGCAAACCGAAACCAACCAGUUAAUGGGAAUUUCUCAAAGCUUUCCCUUCUAGAAAGUGGUGAUCUUAUCUUAACAGAUGCUGGGCGGUUCAUAGUUUGGACCAUAAAGAGGGUUGGGAUUUCUCCGGUGCAAUUACACCUCUUCAACACUGGUAACCUUGUGCUGCGUACCUCGGAUGGUGUUAUUCAAUGGCAAAGUUUCGAUUCACCAACAGAUACCCUUCUCCCUCACCAACCACUCACCAGAAAUACGAGACUCGUCUCUUCAAGAACCAAAACCAACUUUUUCUCAGGGUUUUAUAAGCUCUAUUUUGACAACAAUAACGUCCUCAGUCUUGUCUUCGAUGGGCGGGAUGCUUCAAGCAUUUACUGGCCCCCAUCGUGGCUUGUAAGCUGGCAGGCGGGAAGAUCGGCAUACAACAGCAGCAGAACUGCAUUACUAGAUUACUUUGGCUAUUUUUCUUCAACCGACGAUUUUAAGUUUCAGUCCUCGGAUUUUGGUGAGAGAGUCCAAAGAAGAUUGACCCUGGAUAUUGAUGGCAACUUACGAUUAUACAGUUUUGAGGAAGGGAGAAAUAAGUGGGUUGUUACUUGGCAAGCCAUCACGCUACAAUGCAACAUUCAUGGAAUAUGCGGACCCAACAGUAUUUGUACCUAUGUGCCUGGUUCUGGGAGUGGAAGGAGAUGCUCUUGCGUACCUGGAUAUGAGAUGAAAAAUCGCACUGACCGAACUUAUGGAUGCAUACCAAAAUUCAAUCUUUCUUGCGACUCACAGAAGGUUGGUUUCCUCCCACUCCCACACGUUGAGUUCUACGGCUAUGAUUAUGGCUAUUACCUCAAUUACACCUUACAGAUGUGUGAAAAACUGUGCUUGAAAAUAUGUGGCUGCAUAGGAUAUCAAUACAGCUAUAAUUCGGAUGUUUAUAAAUGUUGUCCUAAGCGGCUGUUUCUCAACGGAUGCCGCUCGCCUAGUUUUGGAGGACAUACAUAUCUAAAAUUGCCUAAAGCUAGUCUUCUUUCCUAUGAAAAACCAGUUGAGGAAUUCAUGUUAGAUUGCUCAGGCAACCGCUCAGAGCAGCUAGUAAGAUCUUAUGCAAAAGCCCGCGAAAAUGAAGUGUUAAAGUUCAUCCUCUGGUUUACGUGCGCAAUUGGAGCAGUUGAGAUGAUUUGCAUCAGUAUGGUGUGGUGUUUCUUGAUGAAGGCCCAGCAAAACACCAGUACAGAUCCGCCAGGCUACAUUUUAGCUGCCACGGGAUUCAGAAAAUUCACCUAUAUUGAGCUGAAGAAAGCAACACGGGGUUUCAGUGAGGAGAUUGGCAGAGGAGGGGGUGGGGUUGUAUAUAAAGGUGUCUUAUCAGACCACCGAGUGGCAGCCAUCAAGCAGCUCAGUGGAGCUAACCAAGGAGAAUCUGAAUUCUUGGCAGAAGUAAGUACCAUUGGGAGGCUUAACCACAUGAACUUGAUAGAGAUGUGGGGUUAUUGCUUUGAGGGGAAGCACAGGCUCUUGGUUUAUGAAUACAUGGAGCAUGGAUCACUAGCACAAAACCUCACUUCCAAUACACUUGAUUGGCAGAAGAGGUUCGAUAUUGCGGUGGGCACAGCAAAAGGUCUGGCUUAUUUACACGAAGAGUGCUUGGAGUGGGUUAUACACUGCGAUGUGAAGCCUCAAAACAUACUCCUAGACUCUAAUUAUCAGCCAAAGGUGGCAGACUUCGGCCUGUCAAAGUUACAGAACAGAGGAGGAAUCAACAAUUCGAGAUUGUCGAGGAUCAGAGGAACGAGAGGUUACAUGGCUCCAGAAUGGGUUUUGAACCUCCCCAUCACCUCCAAAGUAGACGUUUAUAGCUAUGGUAUUGUGGUUCUGGAGAUGAUUACCGGCCUAAGAAGUGUUGCAAAUGCCAUCCACGGUACAGAUGGCAUAGGGGAACGUCAGAGUUUGGUGGCAUGGGUGAAAGGGAAGAUGAAUAGUGCAAC
rnacentral:lncRNA from 1 species